rnacentral:rRNA from 1 species
CAGCCGCCACGGGAAUACGGAGGGUGCAAGCGUUAAUCGGAAUUACUGGGCGUAAAGCGUGCGUAGGCGGUUCGUUAAGUCUGUUGUGAAAGCCCCGGGCUCAACCUGGGAAUGGCAAUGGAUACUGGCGAGCUAGAGUGUGUCAGAGGGUGGUGGAAUUCCCGGUGUAGCGGUGAAAUGCGUAGAGAUCGGGAGGAACAUCAGUGGCGAAGGCGGCCAUCUGGGACAACACUGACGCUGAGGCACGAAAGCGUGGGGAGCAAACAGGAUUAGAUACCCCCGUAGUCCCUGUCUCUUAUAC